UACGUAGGUGACCAGCGUUGUCCGGAUUUACUGGGCGUAAAGAGCGCGCAGGCGGUCGUUCAAGUCGAGUGUGAAAGCCCCCGGCUCAACUGGGGAGGGUCAUUCGAUACUGAUCGACUCGAAGGCAGGAGAGGGAAGUGGAAUUCCCGGUGUAGUGGUGAAAUGCGUAGAUAUCGGGAGGAACACCAGUGGCGAAGGCGACUUCCUGGCCUGUUCUUGACGCUGAGGCACGAAAGCGUGGGGAGCAAACAGG
rnacentral:rRNA from 1 species